rnacentral:rRNA from 1 species
UACAGAGGGUGCAAGCGUUAAUCGGAAUUACUGGGCGUAAAGGGCGCGUAGGUUGUGAAGUAAGUUGGAUGUGAAAUAUCUGGGCUUAACCUGGAAAGGCCAUCCAAUACUGCUUGACUAGAGUACGGUAGAGGGAAGAGGAAUUUCCGGUGUAGCGGUGAAAUGCGUAGAUAUCGGAAGGAACAUCAGUGGCGAAGGCGUCUUCCUGGACUGAUACUGACACUGAGGCGCGACAGCGUGGGGAGCAAACAGG